AUCGUUGCUAGCACUAAAUUUCUACAGUUCUCGAAAGGAAACAGCCAACAGAAGUUCUCUUGCAAGAUGAAAUUAUUUCAAACCAUUUUAGCAAUUUCCUGCAUCAUCGCAUUGGCUGUGGCGACUCCCGGCGAUAAUAUAAUUAAAGGAGAUAAUAAUAAUGGAAAUACACAAACAAAUACAGAUUUUAAACUUAAAUUGGGAAAAUAAGACCAAUAAUAAAUUAUGAAUAUGUUCAUAUUAUUAUUUAUUUUGUUGUUGAUAUAUUGUAAUGUGUAGUAUUCAAAAAAUAAAAUAUUGAUAAAAUUUGUAUUAAAUGUAAAAAAAUAAAAACAAAACAAAACUUGAAAUACGAAAAAAUA